rnacentral:lncRNA from 1 species
ACGGCUUCAACAGGCGGCGGCACGACCGAUCGGCUCGCCUGAUCGGACCCUCGAGCUGUCGGACUGGGAGUCUCUAUAGUACCAUCCGCCCGGGUGUGUGCCUCCAGAAAUCCGGCACGUGACACCUCCGACGGGGUCUGCUGGGGAGUCUGCCGGGACCUUUCCGGCGGAUGGGAGCCACUUUCCCCGCUGCCCGAAUGAGUACCCGCCGCAGGGUCAGGCACGACUUCUGUCUCCGGCGGGACACUCUCGACCACCGGCACGUCGGGCUGUGACGCCUUUGCAAAGUCAAUGGCGCCCUUCCGCUUCAACAUGUCUAUAUUGGCCCGGGCCCCAGACUUCGCCGCUUCGGUCAAUGUCUUUUUAUACUCCGCCGACAGCUUGAACGCUUCAACGGCGGCGGCCGCAGAGGAACUCUGUUCAUUUUUCAGGCGGUUAACCUCCCCGUCCAGCCGCUGCACCUCAUCCAGUCUGGCGGCAGACUCCCGCUGCACAAUAAUGAGCUUCUUAUCUUUAGCGGCUAUCCGCUCCUGCAGCAGCGCGAUCUCCUGCUCCAACUUGGAGACGCGCUCAUUCCUCUCCAGAUCCCGCCGGAUGGCCG